rnacentral:ncRNA from 1 species
UUAUUGAGUUCCUUGGGAUUGGCUUUGGGCCUUUCUUGCGCAACUUAGGUGGAAGGCGAAGAAGGCCUCCUUCCGGGGGGGCCCGAGCCAUCAGUGAGAUACCACUCUAGAAGAGCUAGAAUUCUAACCUUAUGUCAGGAUCUACGAGCCAAGGGACAAUCUCAGUAGACAAUUUCUAUGGGGUGUAGGCCUCCCAAAAGGUAACGGAAAUGGGGCGUUUGUUAAUUUCCUAGCUUGUUGUGAGAUAGAGAUACUUCUAUCUCAUCUGAAGAA